AAUCUGGGGUCCCCGACCUCCGAGUUGUAAUUUGGAGAGGCAUCUUCGGGGGGGAGCGCCGGCCCAUGUUCCUUGGAACAGGACGUCGCAGAGGGUGAGAAUCCCGUGCCAGGCCGGCUGCCUCCUCCCGGGUGAAGGGCCUUCGACGAGUCGAGUUGUUUGGGAAUGCAGCUCCAAGUGGGUGGUAAAUUUCAUCUAAAGCUAAAUACCGGCGGGAGACCGAUAGCGCACAAGUAGAGUGAUCGAAAGAUGAAAAGCACUUUGAAAAUAGAGUCAAAAAGUACGUGAAAUUGUUGAAAGGGAAGCGCUUGAGACCAGACUCGGGCCCCGGCAAACACCGCGCCCCCAGGGGCCGUGCAAUUGCCGGGGGCUGGGCCAGCAUCAGUCGGCGUGGCGGGACAAAGGCGCGGGGAAUGUGGCUCCCCUCGGGGAGUGUUAUCAGGCCCGCGCUCAAUGCCGCCGACGCCGACUGAGGACCGCGCCUCGGCUAGGAUGCUGGCUUAAUGGCCUUCAGCGACCCGUCUUGAAACACGGA
rnacentral:rRNA from 1 species